rnacentral:rRNA from 1 species
CAUUUUGAGGGUUUGAUCCUAGCUCAGGGUUAACGCUGGCGGUGUGCCUAACACAUGCAAGUCGAGCGACGAACUCGGGAAAUUUUGCGCAAGCGGAAUUUUCUGGGGGAAAGCGGCGGAUGGGUGAGUAACACCUGGGUAACCUACCUUCGGGAUCAGGAUAACUCGUCGAAAGGCGGGCUAAUACUGGAUAAUUACGGAGAAAUUCAUUUUUCCGUGGAAAGUUGUGUCCAAAAGACAUAACACCUGAAGAUGGGCCUGGGUCCUAUCAGCUUGUUGGCGGGGUAAAAGCCCACCAAGGCUAUGACAGGUAGCUGGUCUGAGAGGACGGCCAGCCACACGGGGAUUGAGAUACAGCCCCGACUCCUACGGGAGGCAGCAGUGAGGAAUUUUGGACAAUGCCCGCAAGGGUGAUCCAGCGACACCGCGUGGGUGAUGAAGGGCUUCGGCCUGUAAAACCCUGUCAAGUGGGAAGAAUGCUACCUUUUCAGGUAGUUUGACGGUACCACUGAAGGAAGCCCCGGCUAAUCCCGUGCCAGCAGCCGCGGUAAGACGGGAGGGGCAAGCGUUACCCGGAUUUACUGGGUGUAAAGGGUCUGUAGGCGGUCAAGUAUGUCGUAUCUGAAAUCCUCUGGCUCAACCAGAGAACAGGGUACGAAACUGCUUGAUUUUGAGUCUGGACGAGGGGAGCGGAACUGCCGGUGUAGCGGUGAAAUGCGUAGAUAUCGGCAGGAACACCAGUGGCGAAGGCGGCUCUCU